rnacentral:rRNA from 1 species
GAAACGACUGCUAAGACUGGAUAGGAAGAAAUAAGGCAUCUUUUUUCUUUUAAAAGACCUAGUGAUAGGUAUACUUUAGGAGGGGCUUGCGCCAUAUUAGUUAGUUGGUAGGGUAAUGGCCUACCAAGACGAUGAUGUGUAGCUGGACUGAGAGGUUGAACAGCCACAUUGGGACUGAGACACGGCCCAAACUCCUACGGGAGGCAGCAGUAGGGAAUUUUCGGCAAUGGAGGAAACUCUGACCGAGCAACGCCGCGUGAACGACGAAGUACUUUGGUAUGUAAAGUUCUUUUAUCAAGGAAGAAAAGCAAGUGGUGAACCAUUUGUUUGCCGGUACUUGAUGAAUAAGCCCCGGCUAAUUAUGUGCCAGCAGCCGCGGUAAGACAUAAGGGGCAAGUGUUAUCCGGAAUUAUUGGGCGUAAAGGGUGCGUAGGCGGUCUAGUAAGUCAGUGGUGUAAUGGCAACGCUCAACGUUGUCCGGCUAUUGAAACUGCUAAACUUGAGUUAGAUAGAGGCGAGUGGAAUUCCAUGUGUAGCGGUAAAAUGCGUAAAUAUAUGGAGGAACACCAGAGGCGUAGGCGGCUCGCUGGGUCUUAACUGACGCUGAGGCACGAAAGCGUGGGGAGCAAACAGGAUUAGAUACCCUGGUAGUCCACGCCGUAAACGAUGAGUACUAAGUGUCGGGUUAAACCGGUACUGAAGUUAACACAUUAAGUACUCCGCCUGAGUAGUACGUACGCAAGUAUGAAACUUAAAGGAAUUGACGGGACUCCGCACAAGCGGUGGAUCAUGUUGUUUAAUUCGAAGAUGCCCGAAAAACCUUACCAGGUCUUGACAUGUUUUUGCGAAACGGUAGUAAUAUCGUGGAGGUUAUCAGAAACACAGGUGGUGCAUGGUUGUCGUCAGCUCGUGUCGUGAGAUGUUAGGUUAAGUCCUAAAACGAGCGAAACCCUUAUCGUUAGUUGCCAGCACGUUAUGGUGGGGACUUUAACGAGACUGCCAGUGAUAAAUUGGAGGAAGGUGAGGAUCACGUCAAAUCAGCAUGCCCCUUAUGACCCGGGCUACAAACGUGAUACAAUGGCUGUUACAAAGGGUAGCUGAAACGCAAGUUCUUGGCCAAUCCCCAAAAACAGUCUCAGUCCGGAUUGAAGUCUGCAACUCGACUUCAUGAAGUUGGAAUCGCUAGUAAUCGCGAAUCAGCAUGUCGCGGUGAAUACGUUCGCGGGGUUUGUACACCGCCCGUCA